GGCUCAGGAUGAACGCUAGCUACAGGCUUAACACAUGCAAGUCGAGGGGCAGCAUGGUCUUAGCUUGCUAAGGCCGAUGGCGACCGGCGCACGGGUGAGUAACACGUAUCCAACCUGCCGUCUACUCUUGGACAGCCUUCUGAAAGGAAGAUUAAUACAAGAUGGCAUCAUGAGUCCGCAUGUUCACAUGAUUAAAGGUAUUCCGGUAGACGAUGGGGAUGCGUUCCAUUAGAUAGUAGGCGGGGUAACGGCCCACCUAGUCUUCGAUGGAUAGGGGUUCUGAGAGGAAGGUCCCCCACAUUGGAACUGAGACACGGUCCAAACUCCUACGGGAGGCAGCAGUGAGGAAUAUUGGUCAAUGGGCGAGAGCCUGAACCAGCCAAGUAGCGUGAAGGAUGACUGCCCUAUGGGUUGUAAACUUCUUUUAUAAAGGAAUAAAGUCGGGUAUGGAUACCCGUUUGCAUGUACUUUAUGAAUAAGGAUCGGCUAACUCCGUGCCAGCAGCCGCGGUAAUACGGAGGAUCCGAGCGUUAUCCGGAUUUAUUGGGUUUAAAGGGAGCGUAGAUGGAUGUUUAAGUCAGUUGUGAAAGUUUGCGGCUCAACCGUAAAAUUGCAGUUGAUACUGGAUAUCUUGAGUGCAGUUGAGGCAGGCGGAAUUCGUGGUGUAGCGGUGAAAUGCUUAGAUAUCACGAAGAACUCCGAUUGCGAAGGCAGCCUGCUAAGCUGCAACUGACAUUGAGGCUCGAAAGUGUGGGUAUCAAACAGGAUUAGAUACCCUGGUAGUCCACACGGUAAACGAUGAAUACUCGCUGUUUGCGAUAUACUGCAAGCGGCCAAGCGAAAGCGUUAAGUAUUCCACCUGGGGAGUACGCCGGCAACGGUGAAACUCAAAGGAAUUGACGGGGGCCCGCACAAGCGGAGGAACAUGUGGUUUAAUUCGAUGAUACGCGAGGAACCUUACCCGGGCUUAAAUUGCAGAUGAAUUACGGUGAAAGCCGUAAGCCGCAAGGCAUCUGUGAAGGUGCUGCAUGGUUGUCGUCAGCUCGUGCCGUGAGGUGUCGGCUUAAGUGCCAUAACGAGCGCAACCCUUGUUGUCAGUUACUAACAGGUUCCGCUGAGGACUCUGACAAGACUGCCAUCGUAAGAUGUGAGGAAGGUGGGGAUGACGUCAAAUCAGCACGGCCCUUACGUCCGGGGCUACACACGUGUUACAAUGGGGGGUACAGAGGGCCGCUACCACGCGAGUGGAUGCCAAUCCCCAAAACCUCUCUCAGUUCGGACUGGAGUCUGCAACCCGACUCCACGAAGCUGGAUUCGCUAGUAAUCGCGCAUCAGCCACGGCGCGGUGAAUACGUUCCCGGGCCUUGUACACACCGCCCGUCAAGCCAUGGGAGCCGGGGGUACCUGAAGUGCGUAACCGCGAGGAGCGCCCUAGGGUAAAAC
rnacentral:rRNA from 1 species